CCUACGGGAGGCAGCAGUGGGGUAUAUUGCACAAUGGGGGAAACCCUGAUGCAGCGACGCCGCGUGAGUGAAGAAGUAUUUCGGUAUGUAAAGCUCUAUCAGCAGGGAAGAAAGUGACGGUACCUGAGUAAGAAGCCCCGGCUAACUACGUGCCAGCAGCCGCGGUAAU
rnacentral:rRNA from 1 species